rnacentral:rRNA from 1 species
UGGGGAAUAUUGCACAAUGGGCGAAAGCCUGAUGCAACAACGCCGCGUGAGGGACGACGGCCUUCGGGUUGUAAACCUCUUUUAGCAAGGAAGAAGCGAAAGUGACGGUACUUGCAGAAAAAGCGCCGGCUAACUACGUGCCAGCAGCCGCGGUAAUACGUAGGGCGCAAGCGUUAUCCGGAAUUAUUGGGCGUAAAGAGCUCGUAGGCGGUUUGUCGCGUCUGCUGUGAAAACCCGAGGCUCAACCUCGGGCCUGCAGUGGGUACGGGCAGACUAGAGUGCGGUAGGGGAGACUGGAACUCCUGGUGUAGCGGUGGAAUGCGCAGAUAUCAGGAAGAACACCGAUGGCGAAGGCAGAUCUCUGGGCCGUAACUGACGCUGAGGAGCGAAAGGGUGGGGAGCAAACAGGCUUAGAUACCCUGGUAGUCCACCCCGUAAACGUUGGGAACUAGUUGUGGGGUCCAUUCCACGGAUUCCGUGACGCAGCUAACGCAUUAAGUUCCCCGCCUGGGGAGUACGGCCGCAAGG